rnacentral:rRNA from 1 species
UACAGAGGUCCCAAGCGUUGUUCGGAUUCAUUGGGCGUAAAGGGUGCGUAGGCGGCGCGGUAAGUCGGGUGUGAAAUCUCGGGGCUUAACUCCGAAACUGCAUUCGAUACUGCCGUGCUUGAGGACUGGAGAGGAGACUGGAAUUUACGGUGUAGCGGUGAAAUGCGUUGAUAUUGGAAGGAACUCCGGUGGCGAAAGCGAAGCUGCUGGACCUCUUCUGACGCUGAGGCGCGAAAGCCAGGGGAGC